GUCCUAAUCUAUCUCUUAUCAGAGUAUAUUCUAUUAGAAUUAUAUUAUUGAAUAUUGAUUCUGCUAAAUUAUGCUAAAAUUAUUUCAUGCCUGUAACAUAAAAUUAGGUUAUUCGCGAAGUAUGCACAGAAUCGUGAAACAUUGGAGCAGAAAUAUACGUUCCAACGGAGAUUACGGAAACCAAUUUUUGAAGAGACUGAAUAAAAUCUGUUUUUAUUUGUAUAUAUGCUCAAUAAAACAUACUGAAAGAUUGAAAACAA